rnacentral:rRNA from 1 species
ACUUCUUCUCCCCCAUGCAAUCACUAACUAUCGAUGAUGAGGGCCUAGCUACUGUUGUGCAUUAUGCUCCACAAACUUCUCUUCAAGGGUUAAUAAUUGUUUCUACUCCAGAAUUGGACAUAUGUGAUAUGCUCCACUGAACAUAUGAUUCCUCCAUGCCAAUAAUCCUCUAGUUUUUAUACCUUAUGGCUAUUGACUGAAUACUCUCUCUGUGAAUGCAUGCUUUGUACCAAUUAAAAGGAAAUUAAUACAAAUUAAAAUUUCUCAUGGUACUGUUCUUUCUACAGAUACCAAUCAUUAGUGAUUGAUUGAGCUUGUUGUUCACUGUUGUUGUUUCUUCAUCCUCUAUGCUCACUUCUCCUAAACAUCUACAUUAAUCAAUUAUACUCCUCUUGAGAUUAGGCUACUCCAAAUAUGGAUUAUUGCUUAAAUAAUACCAAUUGUACCAAAAAGGAUGGUACAAAUUAGGUAUUGUACCAAGAAAACUCUAAUACCUCCUUGUUAAACUAAAAUUUGUCACCAUGACUAUUUGCAGUUAGUAUGGCUUCAUCAACAGUCAUACUAUCCUCCUUGGCAAGCCUUAUACCUCUGCUCCCCAUGUCAAACUUCAACAAAGAGAGAAAUGCAUUAAAAAACAUGUUUACCUCUGGGUACGCAGGUUCUCUCUACCUUACCUGCGUGUACGCAUCCCAAGUUCAUAAUACCUGCGUACUUGUACGCUCUGUAGUUAAAGGGGUGGGUGCGUACUCCUGUAAAGGUCAAAAGGCGCGAGUUUCAUCUUAAAAAAGUUACUUGUGGUCAUUUCUAGAGCAUUCUAGAAGCUUGUUUGACAUGUAUUGAGCGCCUCUAGAUGGUUCAUGUAUCCCUAUGAAAGAGGAACUUAUCCCAUCAAGAGGGAAGCCAACCCAUCCAAAGAGGGGCUUAUCCCAUUGAUGGUGGACCUGAUUAACUUCCUCUAGAGCACUAUAAAUACAGGCAUUGGGCCAGGAGGAGGGAGGUUGAAAGCUGAACAUUCCAAAGGGUAGAUGUUGCUGGAAUUAGGACUUCCUUGUAGAAGCUUGUGAGGAGAGAUUCCCAUUCUUUCUUGUUUCAUUUGGAAGUGGGUGAUCUUAUCAAAGUAAAGGAAAACUCUUGUUGAACCCUGGGAGGGACUUGCACAACACCAAGGCUUAGGUUGUAAUGGUUUCUUUUGUUUCCUAUUAAUACAAAUAAGUCCAUUCUUCUCAACAAUUUGUUAUUAAUGAGUUGUUUCAUAUACUCCUUGGUCUAUAUGUUAAAUAUGUUUAUUUUAUGAGAUAUUCAGGUGCUAUGUAAUCGUUUGAUUGUUAGUGAAUGCAGGUUUCGAAGUGAAGGAGGAGCUCAUCCAGAUCAACGAGGUUGGACUACUACAACAGCGUUGGACUACAGGUAGGAUCUAAAACACUUGAUUUCUCGUGUGAUAAAUGCAUGUUUAGAGAAGGAUUGCUCUUAAUUGUCUUGUUUGUCACUAGAAAGUCUUAGGCUUCUAGGAGGUUGGUUUUGUCUGCAAGAUUAACUCUUUCCGCAUGACAGCGAUGGUCCCUACGGAUGCUGACGAAAUGUGAUUUCUGCCCAGUGCUCUGAACGUCAAAGUGAAGAAAUUCAACCAAGCGCGGGUAAACAGUGGGAGUAACUAUGACUCUCUUAAGGUAGCCAAAUGCCUCAUCAUCUAAUUAGUGAUGCACAUGAAUGGAUUAAUGAGAUUCCCAUUGUCCCUAUCUACUAUCUAGCGAAACUAUAGCCAAGGGAACGGGCUUGGCAGAAUCAGCGAGGAAAGAAGACCCUGUUGAGCUUGACUCUACUCGAAAUUUGUGAAAUGACUUGAAAGGUGUAGAAUAAGUGGGAGCCGUUUUUGGCGCAAGUGAAAUACCACUACUUUUAAUGUUAUUUUACUUAUUUUAUGGGGUGGAGAUGGGGCACUGCCCCUAUUUUUGGCCUUAAGGCACGUUUCAAUUGGUCGAUCCGGGUGUAAGACAUUGUUAGGUGGGGAGUUUGGCUGGGGCGGCACAUCUGUUAAAAGAUAACGCAGGUGUCCUAAUUUGAGCUCAACGAGAACAGAAAUAUCGUGUGGAACAAAAGGGUAAAAUCUCCUUUGAUUUUGAUUUUCAGUACGAAUACAAACUGUGAAAGCGUGGCCUAUCGAUCCUUUAGAUUUUCAGAAUUUGAAGCUAGAGGUGUCAGAAAAGUUACCACAGGGAUAACUGACUUGUGGCAGCCAAGCGUUCAUAGCAAAGUUUCUUUUUGAUCCUUUGAUGUCGACUCUUCCUAUCAUUGUGAAGCAGAAUUCACCAAGUGUUGGAUUGUUCACCCACCAAUAGGGAACAUGAGCUAGGUUUAGACUGUCGUGAGACAGGUUAGUUUUACCCUACUGAUGAACCACACCGCAAUAGUAAUUCAACUUAGUACGAGAGGAACUGUUGAUUCACACAAUUGUUCAUCGCACUUGGUUGAAAAUCCAGUGGCGUGAAGCUACCGUGUGUCAGAUUAUGACUAAACACCUCUAAGUCAAAAUCCACGCUAGAAGCGGUGCAUGUCACUCUUAGACUGUAUCUCGACCCAGAGUAGGGGCGUUGCUUUGUCACCCCUAGGGGCCUAUGUCAUUUGCAAACCGCGACUGUGAAGCAUCUUGGUCAGGGCAACUUUGAAGUUCAAUUCCAAACGGUCGUUGAGAAUAAUCCUUUGCAGACGACUUAAAUACGCAUUGGGGUAUUGUAAGUGGCAGAGUGACCUUGCUGCCAUGAUCCACUGAGAUUCAAAUCUUGGUCACCUCAAUUCAGA